AACCAUAGAAACCUGCGGAGUACCUGCGGAGGGAUCAUUAACAAAAUUGGGUUGGUUGGUGGUGUGGGUGGGGGGGGGGUUAGUGGUGUGGUGUGGUGUGGUGUGGGGUGGGGUGGGGUGGGUUGAUUGAUGAGGGAUGACUCUCUUAUUCACACACUCACACACAUACAUACACACACACACACACACUCACUCACUCACUCACUCGCACACUCACUCACAUUCAUUCAAUCAACCGAU
rnacentral:misc_RNA from 1 species